UUAUAUGUGGCUCAGUGGUAGAGUGUCUGCCUGGUAUGUAUAAGGCCCUGGGUUCAAUCCACAGCACUACAAA
rnacentral:tRNA from 1 species